CCUGUUCUGUUGUGUCUUGUU
rnacentral:siRNA from 1 species